rnacentral:rRNA from 1 species
CCUACGGGCGGCAGCAGUAGGGAAUAUUGCACAAUGGGGGCAACCCUGAAGCAGCAACGCCGCGUGGAGGAUGAAGGUUUUCGGAUUGUAAACUACUUUUGUUAGAGAAGAUAAUGACGGUAUCUAACGAAUAAGCACCGGCGAACUCCGUGCCAGCAGCCGCGGUAAUACGGAGGGUGCAAGCGUUCCUCGGAAUCACUGGGCGUAAAGAGCGCGUAGGCGGGAUAGCAAGUCAGAUGUGAAAUCCCAUGGCUUAACCAUAGAACUGCAUUUGAAACUGGUAUUCUUGAGUAUGGGAGAGGGAGGUAGAAUUCUUGGUGUAGGGGUAAAAUCCGUAGAGAUCAAGAGGAAUACUCAUUGCGAAGGCGACCUGCUAGAACAUAACUGACGCUGAUGCGCGAAAGCGUGGGGAGCAAACAGGAUUAGAUACCCGAGUAGUC